CCUACGGGAGGCAGCAGUGGGGAAUAUUGCACAAUGGGGGAAACCCUGAUGCAGCGACGCCGCGUGAGUGAAGAAGUAUCUCGGUAUGUAAAGCUCUAUCAGCAGGGAAGAAAAUGACGGUACCUGUCUAAGAAGCCCAGGCUAACUACGUGCCAGCAGCCGCGGUAAUACGCAGGGGGCAAGCGUUAUCCGGAUUUACUGGGUGUAAAGGGGGCGUAGACGGCGCUGCAAGUCCGGAGUGAAAGCGCAUGGCUUAACCAUGGUACUGCUCUGGAAACUGUGGAGCUUGAGUGCGGGAGGGGCAGGCGGAAUGCCUGGUGUAGCGGUGAAAUGCAUAGAGAUCACGCAGAACUCCGAUUGCGAAGGCAGCAUACCGGCGCUCAACUGACGCUGAUGCACGAAAGUGUGGGUAGCGAACAGGAUUAGAUACCCGGGUAGUC
rnacentral:rRNA from 1 species